GGGGGGCACAGGGGGAAUAUUUUGCCAAUGGGGCAAGCCUGAUACAGCAAUACCGCGUGUGUGAAGAAGGCCCUCGGGUUGUAAAGCACUUUUAUCAGGAAAGAAAUACCACGGUUUAAUACCCGAUGGGGAUGACGGUACCCGAGGAAUAAGCACCGGGUAAAUUCGUGCCAGCACCCGCGGUAAUACGAGGGGGGCAAGCGUUAAUCGGAAUUUCUGGGGGUAAAGGGUGCGUAGGCGGUUCGUUAAGUCUGUCGUGAAAUCCCCGGGCUCAACCUGGGAAUGGCGAUGGAUACUGGCGAGCUAGAGUGUGUCAGAGGGGGGUGGAAUUUCCGGUGUAGCGGUGAAAUGCGUAGAGAUCGGGAGGAACACCAGUGGCGAAGGCGGCCAUCUGGGGCAACACUGACGCUGAAGCACGAAAGCGUGGGGAGCAAACAGGAUUAGAUACCCUGGUAGUCCACGCCCUAAACGAUGCGAACUGGAUGUUGGUCUCAACUUGGCUCAUCGAGUGUCGGCAGCUCAACCGCGUU
rnacentral:rRNA from 1 species